rnacentral:rRNA from 1 species
AUUGAACGCUGGCGGCAUGCUUUACACAUGCAAGUCGAGCGGAGAUGAGGUGCUUGCACCUUAUCUUAGCGGCGGACGGGUGAGUAAUGCUUAGGAAUCUGCCUAUUAGUGGGGGACAACAUUCCGAAAGGAAUGCUAAUACCGCAUACGUCCUACGGGAGAAAGCAGGGGAUCUUCGGACCUUGCGCUAAUAGAUGAGCCUAAGUCGGAUUAGCUAGUUGGUGGGGUAAAGGCCUACCAAGGCGACGAUCUGUAGCGGGUCUGAGAGGAGGAUCCGCCACACUGGGACUGGGACACGGCCCAGACUCCUACGGGAGGCAGCAGUGGGGAAUAUUGGACAAUGGGGGGAACCCUGAUCCAGCCAUGCCGCGUGUGUGAAGAAGGCCUUAUGGUUGUAAAGCACUUUAAGCGAGGAGGAGGCUACUGAGACUAAUACUCUUGGAUAGUGGACGUUACUCGCAGAAUAAGCACCGGCUAACUCUGUGCCAGCAGCCGCCGUAAAAC